CCUACGGGGGGCAGCAGUGGGGAAUAUUGCACAAUGGGGGAAACCCUGAUGCAGCGACGCCGCGUGAGUGAAGAAGUAAUUCGUUAUGUAAAGCUCUAUCAGCAGGGAAGAAAAUGACGGUACCUGAGUAAGAAGCCCCGGCUAACUACGUGCCAGACGCCGCGGGAAUACGUAGGGGGAAAUCGUUAUCCGGAUUUAGUGGGUGAAAAGGGAGCGUAGACGGCAGGGCAAGUCUGGAGUGAAAGGCGGGGGCUCAACCCCCGGACUGCUGUGGAAACUGUACGGCUGGAGUGCAGGAGAGGUAAGUGGAAUUCCUAGUGUAGCGGUGAAAUGCGUAGAUAUUAGGAGGAACACCAGUGGCGAAGGCGGCUUACUGGACUGUAACUGACGUUGAGGCUCGAAAGCGUGGGGAGCAAACAGGAUUAGAUACCCUUGUAGUC
rnacentral:rRNA from 1 species